CCUAAGGGUACUGCGGAGGAUCAUUAUUGAAUGAAAUUGAGUGGGGUUGUCGCUGGCCUUUCACCGGGCAUGUGCACACCUCAUUCAACCUCUCUAUACCUCUGUGCACUUCUCAUGGGUUGGGCUGCGUCUGAAAUAUUGGCAAGGCCCCUCUCAUGUGUUUUAUACAAACUAUACAUGUUUUAGAAUGUCUAUACAAUGCGUAAAAGCAUAUAAUACAACUUUCAACAACGGAUCUCUUGGCUCUCGCAUCGAUGAAGAACGCAGCGAAAUGCGAUAAGUAAUGUGAAUUGCAGAAUUCAGUGAAUCAUCGAAUCUUUGAACGCACCUUGCGCUCCUUGGUAUUCCGAGGAGCAUGCUUGUUUGAGUGUCAUGGUAUUCUCAACCCUCCUGCAUUUUUUAUUAAAUGCGGUUGGGCUUGGACUUGGAGGCUUUGCUGGUGUCUGAAUAAUUUUUUAUUCGGACGUGGGCUCCUCUGAAAUGCAUUAGCUUGAAUAAAUCCAAGCAUGAUCCAGUGUGAUAAUUGUCUACGCUGCCUCAUCUCGGAAUAAAAAAAAUUCUAGCUUCUAACCGUCCUCCGGGACUUACUCUGAACAUCUGACCUCAAAUCAAGUAGGACUACCCGCUGAACUUAAGCAUAU
rnacentral:rRNA from 1 species